GUGGUCAAGCUACUAAGGCUUCAUGGGGGAUGCCUAGGCGUGCAGAGGCGACGAAGGACGUUGUAGGCUGCGAUAAGCCUCGGGGAGCGGCCAAACACGCUUUGAUCCGAGGAUUUCCGAAUGGGGCAACCCGGCGGUGCUGCGCAAGCAGACACUGUCACUCCUGCCUGAAUGCAUAGGGCAGGUAGAGCGAACCCAGGGAACUGACACAUCUCAGUACCUGGAGGAAAGGAAAUCAACCGAGACUCCGUCAGUAGCGGCGAGCGAACGCGGAUCAGCCCUUGAGCCGUUGGGCGUCAAGACGAACGUUCUGGAACGGACGACCACAGAAGGUGACAGUCCUGUAGUCAUAGACAAGCAACGGCGAUUGAGUAGGUCGGGGCUCGUGAAACCCUGACUGAACAUGCGGGGACCACCCUGCAAGGCUAAGUACUCCUGCACGACCGAUAGUGAACAAGUAAGGCGACUGAAAGGUGAAAAGCACCCCUUCUAGGGGAGUUAAAAGUACCUGAAACCAUGAAGCUACAAGCUGUGGAAGGCCGAUGCCGCAAGGCCGGCUGACCGCGUACCUUUUGCAUAAUGGACCGGCGACUUAUGGUGUACGGCAAGACUAAGUCCUUACGGGACGGAGUCGAAGCGAAAGCGAGUCUGAAUAGGGCGUUAAGUCGUACGUCAUAGACCCGAACCCACGUGAUCUACCCAUGGGCAGGUUGAAGGGAGGGUAAAACCUCCUGGAGGACUGAAGCCGUUAACGUUGAAAAGUUAUGGCAUGACCUGUGGGGAGGAGUAAAAGUCUAAUCAAACGUGGAGAUAUCUGGUUCUCUCCGAAAUGUCUUUUGGGACAGCCUCGGGCCACUACGUAACGGGGGUAGAGCUACUGAAUGAAACGCUGGGCCUACCCGGCUACAGCCUUCAAUCAAACUCCGAAUACCGUUACGACUAUCCCGGGAGUGAGAACGUGGGCGCCAAUGUUCACGAUCGAGAGGGAAAUAACCCAGACCGCCGGCUAAGGCCCCCAAGCGAGGCUAAGUGGAUAAGGAAGUUCGUUUUCCGAGACAGCCAGGAUGUUGGCUUAGAAGCAGCCACCAUUUAAAAAGUGCGUAAUAGCUUACUGGUCGAGAAAACGAGCACCGAUAAUGAUUGGGACUAAGCCUUGCGCCGAAGCCGCGGGCUCGAAAGAGCGGUAGGAGAGCGUAGCACAGGAGAAACAAGCCAUACCGUCAGGAGUGGUGUCGGCCUGUGCUAGUGAGAAUGCCGGUAUGAGUAACGAUAAAGCGGGUGAGAAUCCCGCUCGCCGUAAGCCCAAGGAUUCCUGGGGAAGGUAAAUCCGCCCAGGGUUAGUCGGAACCUUAGUCGAGGCCGAAAGGCGUAGACGAUGGCCAGCAGGUUAAUAUUCCUGCACCGCGUUCAACCGUCGAACCGGCGGGGACGCCGUCGGAAAGCGUGACCCACUAUCUGAAUAGAGGGUGCCCGCAAGGGCGAGGCCCAGUUGCCGAAGCACGUGGACCGGCGGCCGAGAAAAGCCGUCCGGGGAGGUUGAGCGUGUCCGUACCAAAACUGACACAGGUGGGCGAGGAGCGUAUCCUAACGGCGCUCGAGAGAACGGUCCUUAAGGAACUAGGCAAUUUGACCCCGUAACUUCGGGAUAAGGGGUGCCUCCUCCUUCGGGAGAGGCCGCAGAGAAACGGCUCUGGGAACUGUUUAUCAAAAACACAGCUCUGUGCUAACUCGUAAAGAGGACGUAUACAGAGUGACGCGUGCUCGGUGCCGGACGGUUAAGGAAGUCGGUCAGCCGCAAGGCGAAGCUGACGACCGAAGCCCCGGUAAACGGCGGCCGUAACUAUGACGGUCCUAAGGUAGCGAAAUUCCUUGUCGGGUAAGUUCCGACGCGCAUGAAUCGCGUAAUCACUGGAGCAGUGUCUCAAGGACCGACUCGGUGAAAUUGAAGUCGCGGUGAAGAUACCGUGUACCCGCAGCAAGACGGAAAGACCCCGUGAACCUUCACUGUAACCUGACAUUGGCCACGGAUAUCUCAUGCGUAGGAUAGGUGGGAGGCUUUGAAGUUCCGGUUGCGGCCGGGAUGGAGCCAACGGUGAAAUACCACCCUUGUGCUAUUCGUAUCCUAACUCCGACCCGUGAAUCCGGGCGGAGGACAGUGUUAGGCGGGCAGUUUGACUGGGGCGGUCUCCUCCCAAAGAGUAACGGAGGAGUGCAAUGGUCGGCUCAGUACGGUUGGCAAUCGUACGUCGAGUGCAAGGGCACAAGCCGGCUUAACUGUAAGAGCGAAGGCUCGAACAGAUACGAAAGUAGGCCCUAGUGAUCCGGUGAUCCCGUGUGGAAGGGUCAUCGCUCAUCUGACAAAAGGUACUCCGGGGAUAACAGGCUGAUGACUCCCGAGCGCCCAUAGCGGCGGAGUCGUUUGGCACCUCGAUGUCGGCCCAUCACAUCCUGGGGCUGUAGGCGGUCCCAAGGGUUCGGCUGUUCGCCGAUUAAAGUGGUACGCGAGCUGGGUUCAGACCGGCGUGAGCCAGGUCGGUCCCUAUCUGCUGUGGGCGUAUGAGUCUUGAGAGGCCAUCACUCUAGUACGAGAGGAUUGGGUGGUACAUGCCUCUGGUGUACCUGUUGUCGCGCACGCGGCACGGCAGGGUAGCUAAGCAUGGAAUGGAUAAACGCUGAAUGCAUCUAAGCGUGAAGCCGUCCUCAAGAUAAGGACUCAGAGCGCAAGCUAAAGGCCCCUGGUAGACCACCAGGUUGAUAGGCCGGAUGUGUACGGGCUGAGAGGCCCUGAGCUUACCGGUACUAACGGCCGAUCGCUUGACCAUUUUUGU
rnacentral:rRNA from 1 species